CAAGUAUUCCUCUUUGUCCAUUUGAAAUGUUAGGAGGCAUGCUAUAUAUAUAUAUAUAUAUAUAUAUAUAUAUAUAUAUAUAUAUAUAUUAGCAUGCCUCCUAACAUUUCAAAUGGACAAAGAGGAAUACUUG